rnacentral:rRNA from 1 species
UGACCUUUAAUUGGGGCCUGGAAUGAAUGAAUAAAUGGGUAAAAACUGUCUUAACUGUAAUAAUUAAAAGUUUCUUAAAAGGUGAAAAUUCCUUUAAAGAUUUAAUAGACGAGAAGACCCUAGGAGUUUAAAAUCUUUUAAUUAUUUUAAAAAUUUAUUUUGUUGGGGCGACAAUUUAACAUAAAACUUAAAGUUUAUAAAUUUUAUAAAACGAGGUUUAUUAAUUUAAAAUAAACUACCCUAGGGAUAACAGCAUAAUUUUUUAAUAAGUUUGUGACCUCGAUGU